CCUACGGGUGGCAGCAGUGGGGAAUAUUGCACAAUGGGGGAAACCCUGAUGCAGCGACGCCGCGUGAGUGAAGAAGUAUUUCGGUAUGUAAAGCUCUAUCAGCAGGGAAGAAAAUGACGGUACCUGACUAAGAAGCCCCGGCUAACUACGUGCCAGCAGCCGCGGUAAUACGGAGGGGGCAAGCGUUAUCCGGAUUUACUGGGUGGAAAGGGAGCGUAGACGGCCAGACAAGUCAGAAGUGAAAGCCCAGGGCUCAACCCUGGGACUGCUUUUGAAACUGCCGGGCUGGAGUGCAGGAGAGGUAGGCGGAAUUCCUAGUGUAGCGGUGAAAUGCGGAGAUAUUAGGAGGAACACCAGUGGCGAAGGCGGAUUACUGGACUGUAACUGACGUUGAGGCUCGAAAGCGUGGGGAGCAAACAGGAUUAGAUACCCUGGUAGUC
rnacentral:rRNA from 1 species